AUGAAGAUGUAAGGUUACGCCAUUUUUCCCCUAAACGGAGCACGAAGACGAAGAGGAAGAGAAAGUGAGAGAAAAUGGCGAAGCGUUUUGGGACAAUCGGAGUUCUUCAUGAGGAGGAGCGAGUGGAGGAAGCAUCCAAGGCUCAGUAAUCAGCUCUUCCAUGCCCUUCUCGGUCUUAGCCUCGUAGUCGGCGAGCAAGUCUACAACAAACUCCUCCUUCCUCUUCUUCUUCUGCUUCUUCUUUUUCUCACCACUCUUCCCAUUCCUUUGCUUCUCACUGACUCACUGAGAACUAAAACAAUAACCUCAUCAAGUGACGAUGAUCAUUCAGCCCCUUUAAAUCUUUUUUUACUUUUUGUUCCGUUUAAUUUUUUUGGGUCUGCUUUUAUUUUUGUUUUUAUUAGCUGUUCUGGAAAUUUUGUUGAUUAUUACAAUUGAAAAUGUGAAGUUAAUGAAUCUUAUAGAUGGGAUAUAGUAAUUAUUAAUUACUGAACUUGUUUUUAGAAUGCUAUUAUUUUUGGGUUUUAUUAUUUGGGGCCAAAAUCAUAUGCAUUUUAACUGUUUGUUGAUACGUUUUAUUGGGUUGCGUGUGUGUGGUGGAAAUUAUAUCAUGCUUUUGCUUAUACAAAUGAAGAGAAAAUUUUAGUAGUGAAGAUAUUCCAUAACCUGUUCUGUUAAAGUCUUGGAUGUGUCUAUAUGCUCAGAUCUUCCUAAGAUCUUAUUAUUGACUAUUUCCUAUACGUCAAUUACGAAUUUCAAUCUUCAGUUUCUCUAAUCUAAGAAAAUUUUAUCAUAUAUAAAUACAUGAUAUGUUGAUAUACUUUUAAUUGGUAUUUUAGGAUGAUGGAUCUGUUUUAUGUAUAUUUUCUCUUUCUGGAGGUAAUGCCCAAGAUGGACAUUUAGCUGCUGGUCGUAAUGGUGUAAAGCGCCUCAGAACUAUAAGUUCUCAUCUAUUUUACUCUUUGAUGUGGUCAAACAUCCAAAUAUUUUAUCAUUGCUUUAUAGUAUGGAGACAAACUUUUCAUGGUAAUACGACAAAGGUUGCUAUCUAUAUUGUCACGGAGCUGCUGCUCCACUAUAGAUCAAGGAACUAAAUUUGGAAGGUACAUAAAGUGGUUUGGCUAGGAAUAUAGAUUGAAGAAAAUGGAGAGGAAAGUGAAGAAAAUGAAAAGAUUUGUCGCUGCUACAACACAACUAUUCCAAGAGCAGGAAGUGCUGAUGAAGCUUGAGCAAACUUUGAGGAGAAUGCAAGUCAAUGCUCAGUUAGAUCGUGUGAACUUGCUUGAGUUCCAGCAGAUGGUGAUAUGCCAACGUCAAGAAAUGAGAAAUUUAAAAGAUUUGUGUCCAUGGAAUAGAACUUUCAUGCGGAUGAGUCAUGUUGCACCUUUUAAAGGAUGCAUGGUGGGUGGAAUUGAUUCUUCCGUUGAAGAGAUAUGCAAGCCAACCAUUGGUGGUUCAGUGCAGUUGAGAAGUGUUAGUAUUGAAUUGGUUGUGAGUCAAGUCUUCCACAAGGCUAUUUCUUGUUCACAAAAGAGAAUUAAAGCCAUAAAUUUCCACUUCAUUCCAUGAAAGCUGUUUUAAGCAUCUAGUUUGACAUUUUUUUUUCUUUUUUUCAAAGGCAAAGCUUCUAAUGGUAUUGAGUUACUUUCACGGCUUUUGAAAAAUUCUUUUAUUUGUUGAUAUGGUGGAUGAAUUCAGGUCUAAUACCCUUUUUCUUAUGAAGCAUAUACUUUGUCUUUUACUAUGCAAUUAUUUUUUAGUCCACAUAUAUAUGGAUAUAUAUAUAUAUAUAUAUUUAUCCAUAUUUCCAUAUAUGUGCACAAACAUAUACAUAUUCCUCAUCCAUUAUGCAUCAAUGGACCCUAAGAUUAUCAUACUUACAUAGUUACAUUAUAUAAAAAAAAAUUAACAUCCUUCAUGCAUUAAUAUUAUGUUACAUGGUUACAUGAAAAAAAAUUAACAAAAAAAAUCACCAACAGAAUUAUCGAAAAUGCAGAAGGAUACUGUUGGUAAUUUUUCAGCAAAUAUGUUAAUCUUUGAAAACAUUACCGACAUGGGCCAUAGGGAGUACACACAUGCAAUGAUCAAAUAGAUGUAUGCAUUGUUAGGGAAAGGCAGUUGGCCCAGUUCGAAAUGAUUUAAAACCAGGGGAUAUGCAAGAAGGGAACAAGGAUUUUGUUGGAGAGUUAUCAGUAAGCAUUGUGGACACUCGAAAGCUUUGUUAUUUCUUCUAUGGUAAUAACUAUAUGCUUUUAUCUAGAUGUAUUUCACAAGAUAAUUCCAUUAUGCUUUAUGUAUUAGUGAAAUUUAGCUGCUUUUAGUCAUUGAUAUGCUUUGUUAAUUCCAUUAUGCUUUAUGUAUUGGUCAAUGGCAUGAAGAAAUUGCUUAAAUAUUUGCUAGGAUAUGAAAAUUGACGUAAUUUUUUGUAACAUUGUCUCUUUUUUUAUUGUGUUAUUUUGAUCUUCUAAUAAUGCUUUGAAUUGUCAGACCACUUGAAUAUUUUAUAUUUUAUGUUUUAUAUUUUAAUUUAAAGCAUUUUUUUUUUUUUUACGAAAUUUAUGAUUUGCAAUUGAAUACUUCAUACAUGAAACAGGUAAAACUGAGUCUUUAGAUCCAAAAACAACUAUUCUUGUACCUAAAUUAUGGACUUCAUGCAGUUGAUACGUUGAUACGUUGGAUCCUGACAUGGUAAGGCCAAAAUUAUUUUGCUACUUGUAUGAAUAUUUGUUAAGGAGAAACUUCCAAAUUUCCUUUGCAGAUAUUUCUUACUGUCCUAGUUUUGGAAGAUUACCUGCAUCCUUCUAGAAUCCCAAACUUAUUAUUGAUAUCCUCAACAAUUCCUUCCUUCUAUCUUGCCAGUUUUGGUGUUUUUGUUGUUCAAAGUGUAAUCUGAAAUAUUUAUUCCAGUUUAAACUAAAGCUCAAAUAACCAAUUCUAAUGGCAUCUUAUGAAGUAUAUGUAGGCAACACCAGGAUUUUUUAUAUUAUAACGAGCGGCCCAUCCUAUUAAGUGGCAUCUUUAACAAUUUAUUUAUUUGCAUGCUUUAAUUAGUUGGUUUAUGUAGACAAGUUUCACUUUGAACUAUAUGUCUCUCACAAUAACUUCAUGUAAGAUUCUCUAAUAAAAAUUUUCAAUCUUUCACACUUAACAUGGUAAUGUUGCCAACCUGUUAACCUCACUAGUAUAUGUAGGAAAUUGAUAAUAAAGCUUUGCCUCCUAGAGUUGAUUACUUUACAUUUUGAAAGGCAAGGGAUGUGGUUAGCUCUUAGCAGCAUGCUAGAAAAGGGUUUUGUCUUAGGCAAAAUUGCAAUCAACAAAGCAAACAACUUUGAUGACGGACACCUAUUGUCUUCAACAUGUUGCCUUCUUUUGAUUAAAAUAGGGGGAAAAAAAAAGUUUGCUGACAAAAUAAGUGAUGGUGAUUGGAGUGCAUCAGAAAUUUCAGGUUUUCAGAGAAGAAAAAAAAAAUUGGACAGCCUUUGCAACUGCAGAGCAUAAAAGUUACUAGCGCAGGUUCUGCCUUAAUGAAGAAUGUUUUAUUUUUUGGAGCUUCUUAGGUUGUAGGUGCUUUAAAUAAGAUUAUGAAACCAGCCAAAAGAUUGAGGGGAAAGUAGGAAAGUGAUUGAAUAGGAACAAAAAGAAGAAAAAUGGCAUAAAAUUGUGCUUAAGUUUAUCCAUCCGAAUCUACACCAAGCAAGGAUCAGCCAUCUAAGGAUGAGCCUACUCAAGGUUUGAUGCUGAGAUAUGGUAUGGUAAAAUAAAUACCUUUUAGCAUUUGUAUUCAGUUUAUUUAGAUGUGGCCCUUUUCUAGGCCAUCGGGUGAUUGUGAGAGUUCAUCUAUGCAUUUGGAUGUGACAAUUUCCUAUUAUUUACUGAUGUUUAUUUCUAAUAUAGCAGAAACUAGUCGAGCUCCAUUUGAUCUCCCAGAAGCGGAAGCUAAAUCAGCUGCAAGCUAUAGUGUGAAUGCAAUUUUUCGUAAGUCUUUCAUAUGCUUACAAGAGGAGAGGUGAGAGAUGCUUUUUCAUAGAGGAAAGGAAAGCAUAGGUGGAGCAGGGAUUUUUUUUUUUUUUUUUUCAAUGGAGUUGUAGGAAUGUAAUUAGUAGCCCUAUUGUUGGAUGUGUGAUUUGGUAAAAAAGUCAAUAGUAUUGUGGUAUUGUUUUGUUAAAAAAGUCAUUUGUGGUAUUAUUUUGGUAAAAUAAUAUUGUGUUUCAAGUAUUUUAUAUGUUAUUUACUGUUAUAGA